rnacentral:rRNA from 1 species
GACGAAUGCUGGCGGCGUGCUUAACACAUGCAAGUCGAACGGAAAGGCCCUGCUUUUGUGGGGUGCUCGAGUGGCGAACGGGUGAGUAACACGUGAGUAACCUGCCCUUGACUUUGGGAUAACUUCAGGAAACUGGGGCUAAUACCUGAUAGGAGCUCCUGCUGCAUGGUGGGGGUUGGAAAGUUUCGGCGGUUGGGGAUGGACUCGCGGCUUAUCAGCUUGUUGGUGGGGUAGUGGCUUACCAAGGCUUUGACGGGUAGCCGGCCUGAGAGGGUGACCGGCCACAUUGGGACUGAGAGACGGACCAGACUCCAACGGGAGGCAGCAGUGGGGAAUAUUGCACAAUGGGCGGAAGCCUGAUGCAGCAACGCCGCGUGCGGGAUGACGGCCUUCGGGUUGUAAACCGCUUUCGCCUGUGACGAAGCGUGAGUGACGGUAAUGGGUAAAGAAGCACCGGCUAACUACGUG